GACAGAGGUGCCGAGCGUUGUCCGGAAUCACUGGGCGUAAAGGGCGCGUAGGCGGCCUGAUAAGUAGGGGGUGAAAUCCUGCGGCUUAACCGCAGGGCUGCCUUCUAAACUGUCAGGCUCGAGCACAGUAGAGGCAGGUGGAAUUCCCGGUGUAGCGGUGGAAUGCGUAGAGAUCGGGAAGAACAUCAGUGGCGAAGGCGGCCUGCUGGGCUGUUGCUGACGCUGAGGCGCGACAGCGUGGGGAGCAAACAGG
rnacentral:rRNA from 1 species